rnacentral:ncRNA from 1 species
UAAAAACUGCCACCGGGUAGAAAUGCAAAAAAGCAUUUGUCUGCACAUCGUUAGGUCAUUGAAGAUGUGUUUGCAAAUGCUUAUUUUUU